AGAUUAAGUUAUUAAGGGCGCACGGUGGAUGCCUUGGCACUAGAAGCCGAUGAAGGACGUUACUAACGACGAUAUGCUUUGGGGAGCUGUAAGUAAGCUUUGAUCCAGAGAUUUCCGAAUGGGGAAACCCAGCAUGAGUUAUGUCAUGUUAUCGAUAUGUGAAUACAUAGCAUAUCAGAAGGCACACCCGGAGAACUGAAACAUCUUAGUACCCGGAGGAAGAGAAAGAAAAUUCGAUUCCCUUAGUAGCGGCGAGCGAAACGGGAAGAGCCCAAACCAACAAGCUUGCUUGUUGGGGUUGUAGGACACUCUGUACGGAGUUACAAAGGACGACAUUAGACGAAUCAUCUGGAAAGAUGAAUCAAAGAAGGUAAUAAUCCUGUAGUCGAAAAUGUUGUCUCUCUUGAGUGGAUCCUGAGUACGACGGAGCACGUGAAAUUCCGUCGGAAUCUGGGAGGACCAUCUCCUAAGGCUAAAUACUCUCUAGUGACCGAUAGUGAACCAGUACCGUGAGGGAAAGGUGAAAAGCACCCCGGAAGGGGAGUGAAAUAGAACCUGAAACCGUGUGCUUACAAGUAGUCAGAGCCCGUUAAUGGGUGAUGGCGUGCCUUUUGUAGAAUGAACCGGCGAGWUACGAUUUGAUGCAWGGRUAAGCAGUAAMUGUGGAGCCGKAGCGAARGCGAGWCUGAAUAGGGCGUGUAGUAUUUGGUCGUAGACCCGAAACCAGG
rnacentral:rRNA from 1 species